rnacentral:rRNA from 1 species
UGAACGCUGGCGGCAGGCCUAACACAUGCAAGUCGAGCGGUAACAGGAGAAAGCUUGCUUUCUUGCUGACGAGCGGCGGACGGGUGAGUAAUGUAUGGGGAUCUGCCCGAUAGAGGGGGAUAACUACUGGAAACGGUGGCUAAUACCGCAUAAUGUCUACGGACCAAAGCAGGGGCUCUUCGGACCUUGCACUAUCGGAUGAACCCAUAUGGGAUUAGCUAGUAGGUGGGGUAAAGGCUCACCUAGGCGACGAUCUCUAGCUGGUCUGAGAGGAUGAUCAGCCACACUGGGACUGAGACACGGCCCAGACUCCUACGGGAGGCAGCAGUGGGGAAUAUUGCACAAUGGGCGCAAGCCUGAUGCAGCCAUGCCGCGUGUAUGAAGAAGGCCUUAGGGUUGUAAAGUACUUUCAGCGGGGAGGAAGGUGAUAAGGUUAAUACCCUUGUCAAUUG